AUGAUUCUAAUAAUGUAUAAUGUGUUGUUGAUAUCAAGUGGUAGUGCCAAGAAGAGAACUGCAUUGCUGGUUGUUGCCCACCCAGAUGAUGAGUCCAUGUAAGCAUAGCUUUACAAAUUCCUUUAUCAUGUUUCAAGUCCAAUUGGCUUUAGUUGUGGCUGACUUCAGCUGAGUUUCUUUUUAGUGUAAUUUAUGUUGUGGAUCUUGAAUGAUGGGAUGGUAUGAAGGAGAAUUUCUCUUCAUCGUAUAAACAUCAGAUUGCCUCUUAUGAUGCCCUUUGAUUUUGAUGUCUGCAUAUAUUUUCAAAAUUGAUUGUUAUCCUUGAUGAUUAACAUCUGAGAAAAGUUCAAAGCCUGUUGCAGAAACUGCCGUGUGUGUGUGUGUGUGUGUGAG
rnacentral:lncRNA from 1 species